GAUGAACGCUGACAGAAUGCUUAACACAUGCAAGUCUACUUGAAUUUGGGUUUUUUAACUUAGAUUUGGGUGGCGGACGGGUGAGUAACGCGUAAAGAACUUGCCUCACAGUUAGGGACAACAUUUUGAAACGAAUGCUAAUACCUGAUAUUAUGAAUAUAUGGCAUCAUAUAAUUAUGAAAGCUAUAAGCGCUGUGAGAGAGCUUUGCGUCCCAUUAGCUAGUUGGAGAGGUAACGGCUCACCAAGGCGAUGAUGGGUAGCCGGCCUGAGAGGGUGAACGGCCACAAGGGGACUGAGACACGGCCCUUACUCCUACGGGAGGCAGCAGUGGGGAAUAUUGGACAAUGGACCAAGAGUCUGAUCCAGCAAUUCUGUGUGCACGAUGACGUUUUUCGGAAUGUAAAGUGCUUUCAGUUGGGAAGAAAAAAAUGACGGUACCAACAGAAGAAGUGACGGCUAAAUACGUG
rnacentral:rRNA from 1 species